AUCCUUUUGUAGUUCAUAAGCGUGAUGAUUGGGUUUUCACGCGCAUGCGUGAGAUGUGCCUCCCUCAAACCUUGUUACGACAUCGGCACAUUACCCAUCUGACG
rnacentral:snoRNA from 1 species